GGGUUGUGAGGUUAAGCGACUAAGCGUACACGGUGGAUGCCCUGGCAGUCAGAGGCGAUGAAGGACGUGCUAAUCUGCGAUAAGCGCCGGUAAGGUGAUAUGAACCGUUAUAACCGGCGAUUUCCGAAUGGGGAAACCCAGUGUGACUCGUCACACUAUCAUUAACUGAAUCCAUAGGUUAAUGAGGCGAACCGGGGGAACUGAAACAUCUAAGUACCCCGAGGAAAAGAAAUCAACCGAGAUUCCCCCAGUAGCGGCGAGCGAACGGGGAGGAGCCCAGAGCCUGAAUCAGCAUGUGUGUUAGUGGAAGCGUCUGGAAAGGCGCGCGAUACAGGGUGACAGCCCCGUACACAAAAGCGCAUGUGCUGUGAGCUCGAUGAGUAGGGCGGGACACGUGAUAUCCUGUCUGAAUAUGGGGGGACCAUCCUCCAAGGCUAAAUACUCCUGACUGACCGAUAGUGAACCAGUACCGUGAGGGAAAGGCGAAAAGAACCCCGGCGAGGGGAGUGAAAAAGAACCUGAAACCGUGUACGUACAAGCAGUGGGAGCACCCUUUGGGGUGUGACUGCGUACCUUUUGUAUAAUGGGUCAGCGACUUAUAUUCUGUAGCAAGGUUAACCGAAUAGGGGAGCCGGAGGGAAACCGAGUCUUAAUUGGGCGUUAAGUUGCAGGGUAUAGACCCGAAACCCGGUGAUCUAGCCAUGGGCAGGUUGAAGGUUGGGUAACACUAACUGGAGGACCGAACCGACUAAUGUUGAAAAAUUAGCGGAUGACCUGUGGCUGGGGGUGAAAGGCCAAUCAAACCGGGAGAUAGCUGGUUCUCCCCGAAAGCUAUUUAGGUAGCGCCUCGUGAAUUCAUCUCCGGGGGUAGAGCACUGUUUCGGCUAGGGGGCCAUCCCGGCUUACCAACCCGAUGCAAACUGCGAAUACCGGAGAAUGUUAUCACGGGAGACACACGGCGGGUGCUAACGUCCGUCGUGAAGAGGGAAACAACCCAGACCGCCAGCUAAGGUCCCAAAGUCAUAGUUAAGUGGGAAACGAUGUGGGAAGGCCCAGACAGCCAGGAUGUUGGCUUAGAAGCAGCCAUCAUUUAAAGAAAGCGUAAUAGCUCACUGGUCGAGUCGGCCUGCGCGGAAGAUGUAACGGGGCUAAAC
rnacentral:rRNA from 1 species